rnacentral:tRNA from 1 species
GCGCGUGUAGUUCAUUGGUCAGAACGCCUCUCUGAUAAAGAGGAGGCAGAAGGUUCGAUUCCUUCCACGCGCA